UUUCCUCCAAGCUCUGUGUCCCUCACGUUACUCCAAGGGGAAAACAUGGAUUUUUAAAAGGAGUUUUAAACCAGCAAAAAUGACUGACAAUAUGUACGGAUGAUCACAUUUCAAAUCUGUGUUCUGCUACUCCGGUAACAAGGAAGGUUUCUCUUGUCGUGACUGUCACAUAACAUCAAAAUAGAUACAUGGAACUCGGACUCUUCCUCCAGCUCUACAGAAACUUCCAGAAGCACUUCUGAAAACCUGAGAUCACAGCCAAGGACAUUAGGACUGCAAGAAAAAGAUCAGCACCCCCAUUCCAUUGGUUCAAAAGGACUUCCCCAAGGAAUUGCUCUCCUCCCAAAUUCCAAAGUGAUGCUAAAACA